rnacentral:rRNA from 1 species
CGUCCGCUAUCCGCCCGGGAAUUACGAGCAUUAGCUUGAAACCCAAAGGACUUGGCGGUGCUUUAGACCCACCUAGAGGAGCCUGUCCUAGAACCGAUAAUCCCCGUUCAACCUCACCCUUCCUUGUUCUCCCCGCCUAUAUACCGCCGUCGUCAGCUUACCCUGUGAAGGGCCUAUCGUAAGCAAAAUUGGCAUCGCCCAAAACGUCAGGUCGAGGUGUAGCGUAUGGAAGGGGAAGAGAUGGGCUACAUUCCCUAAUGCAGGGAAUACGAAUGAUGUCCUGAAACGUUCAUCCUGAAGGAGGAUUUAGCAGUAAGCAGAAAAUAGAGA